rnacentral:sRNA from 1 species
AUUCUCUAUAUACCUUAUGCCUAUAUGUAACUCUUAAUUUACGUUUAAUUUAUUUAAUUUGUAAUUUGUGUUUCAUUAAAUUUUGCUUAAAUUCUAUGAGAUUUCGGCGGAUCGGAUCUCGUACGUUGUAGUAUUUAUAAGUUUUAAAAUUAGUUUUUUAACAAAACAUACAAAAAUUACGUUUCAACAAACACACAAAAAAAGAAACAAAUACCAAUACGUAGCAGAACCAGAUUAAAUGUGUUCUAAUCAUGAUUGAUGCGCAAUCAAUCAUGCUGAUAAAUGAUGAUGACGUUUUUUUUGCCAUACCAUACCAUACCAUACCCUUCCCCCGCCCCCCUCAAUGUUAGAUGGAAAUAUUUGUGAAUUUUUCGGUUGUUUGUGACUCUCCAAUUCUGUCUUUGCGAUUUUCAUUCAGAGCAGAACAGGAAUACAAACAAAAGUUAAAAAGAGAACAGAAAACAGAGAACAGAAUACAGAGAACGAAACAAAACGAAACGAAGAAAAUAAAAAGGAAUGAUAAAAACUAAAUGUGAAACGAAUUGCAAAUUUGUUGUAUUUUUUUAUAUGAAUAUAUAUAUAGUAUAUUGAUAUAUAUGUAUAUGUAUAUGUGUAUCUGUACGAGUAUAACCCGCAUACAUGCCCAUUAAAUAUGUAUGCCAUUUAGAAUGCUAUAUGUUAUAGAUCAUAAGGCUAUAUGUUGUAGAUCUUUAAGCGCUAACAGCAAAAGCAACAACCACAACAACAACAACAACAAACAACAAUUUUUGUAGUAGUUUUUUAAAUGAAUCAACAAAAAAAGGAAAAAAAACUAUGUAUGUAUUUGUAUUUGUGUCUAAACCCGAAUGUUCGUAAAUAACACAAAAGCAAAAAGGAACGAAACAAUAAUAAAAUGAAUGAAAAACAAGACAAAAUCGUCUCAGUGAACCGUCGAAUCAUUCUACUAUAUAAACAUCAAGAAAUUCUGAAAAUACGCUUUCAAAUAACAUAGUUCGAAAACGGAAUAGGAGCUCCACUCCACUCGUUUUUGGUCUUCGUUCAGCAUAUAACAACACUCUGGAAGGUAUCUGGUGUGUCAUCGUCGUCGUCAGUCGUCCGUCAUCCAUCGAUGCAUUGUGCUGAGCUUGCCGAAAUGUCCAAAAAAUCACGCGCUGUCCAGUGGAACUGUAUGGAAUGACCACGAGCUGGAGCAUGCAUAGCAGGAGUGGUGUGAUGCCAACCCAAUUAGCCAUGGAGUGACCUGCUAGGGGGGAUACAAGAACGAAAGGAGCUGCUUGGGUAUGGUACUGAUAGCCUGAAUGGGACGAUCUUUAAUCCAAUUCUUCUCUUUGGCCAUACAUACAUAUUUUACGUACAUAUGCUCUCUUAUACAAUGUGAUGCAUCAUCAAGAUUUGGAUAAGAGAAUGGGAAAAGUUAUUUUCGGGUGUAAACAGAACUUGGGAAUUGGAUACCCCAAGAACUCGAAUGCUCGAGAGAACACUCUGAGUGAUAUCUUAAGAUAAGAGACCUCUUUUUGGAUCCUUCCUGUACCAUUAUCAUCACUGAUUUUGUCGACUUUAAGUAUGAAAUGAAAUGAAACAAAAAAAUAUAAUUGGAGUGGAGUGUGAAAUGUCACGUUGUAUACGCUAUAUUCGAUAAGAUAGGAAACAGAAGCAAUUAAAGCCUGCCUCAAUAUAAGAGCACAAAAUACCGCCAAUUCGUUCCAUUUGAAUUCAAAUUAGGCGCCACAUUCCGAAUCGGCUGACAUCUUCCGCUUAACAGCCCAUGUUGUGUAUAAAUUCAGCAGUGUUGUGUCGUUAUGGCUUCAGGGGUUCAAAUAAAUGUCCUAUCUAAUAAAAUUAGUUUAAAGUGGUUCCCCUUCCUAUUUUUCUGAU